UACGAAGGGUGCAAGCGUUACUCGGAAUUACUGGGCGUAAAGCGUGCGUAGGUGGUUUGUUAAGUCUGUUGUGAAAGCCCCGGGCUCAACCUGGGAAUGGCAAUGGAUACUGGCAGGCUAGAGUGCGGUAGAGGGUAGUGGAAUUCCCGGUGUAGCGGUGAAAUGCGUAGAGAUCGGGAGGAACACCAGUGGCGAAGGCGGCGAUCUGGGAAGUUACUGACGCUGAGGUGCGAAAGCGUGGGGAGCAAACAGG
rnacentral:rRNA from 1 species